rnacentral:rRNA from 1 species
AUGCUCUCAAACAUCUUUGCCUUAUCAGAAGAUAAAAAAUUAAAGGCUGCUUGUCUCUUAUGGCUAUGGUGGACGGAACGAAAUAAAGUCAAUCAUAAUCAGAAAUGGGCCUCGGUGGAAGAUUUCCAGUUCCUCCUGACAAAACACAUCUCUGAAUGGCAGGAAUUCUUUGCAAAACCGGAGCACGAGAAGGUGAGGAAUGCUACCAGAUGGAUAUGGCCAGACGAGGAGCAGGUGAAAAUCAACGUUGAUGGUGCUUAUAGUCCAGCUACUCAGCUUGCCGGGUGGGGCUGUAUUGCGCGUGAUCAUAUGGGCGAUGUCAUUUUUGCUGCAGCAGGCAAGCUUGAGCAUAUUAGCGAGGCACUUCACGCUGAGGCAUGCGCCAUGAUCAAAGCAAUACAGUUAGCAGAGACCCAUGGGAUGGGAAGAGUUAUCUUUGAAACUGAUUCCUUGGGGCUGUCUCAAGCGCUGAAUACCAGCAUGCUCGAUCGAUCGUCGCUCGGCACAAUCUUUCGGGAGACAAAGUUCUUGCUGCACCUGGGUUUCAGUCAUUGGUCUGUCGUUCAUACUCCCCGUUUGUGUAAUGCUCCAGCCCAUGAGCUGCCUGCUUUAGGCAGGUGUGGUAACUAUGGGGUUCAGCAUGUCUGGCUGUCAAAUCUCCCUAACUCUGUAAACGCCGCUGUGCCCGCUGAUUUAGUCGGUCCACCGUAA